rnacentral:SRP_RNA from 1 species
UCGUGCUAGACGGGGAGUUAGCGGUGCCCUGUGGCCCGAAAUCCGCUCAGCGGGGUUGAAUCCCCUUUGAAGGGCUCGUGCCUGGCCGGCUGUUAUCAUUUCUGGUGCCGAUUGGACACCUCGCAACAGACGAAUACGAACCCCGUCAGGUCCGGAAGGAAGCAGCGGUAAGUAUCACCGGCUGUGUCGUGGUCUACUCUAAUCAGGUCCCAGGAAGUCGGGCAGCCUGGUCACGCAGGUUCGACAAAGGGUGCACGG